rnacentral:rRNA from 1 species
AGGCCCCGGGAGGACGCUUGCCAGCAACCCCAAUUUUUUUCUGGUUGACCUCGGAUCAGGUAGGGAUACCCGCUGAACUUAAGCAUAUCAAUAAGCGGAGGAAAAGAAACCAACAGGGAUUACCUCAGUAACGGCGAGUGAAGCGGUAAAAGCUCAAAUUUGAAAUCUGGCCCUUUCAGGGUCCGAGUUGUAAUUUGUAGAAGAUGUUUCGGGUGUGGCUCCGGGCUAAGUUCCUUGGAACAGGGCGUCAUAGAGGGUGAGAAUCCCGUAUGUGCCUGGCAGCCUACGCCUAUGUGAAACUCUUUCGACGAGUCGAGUUGUUUGGGAAUGCAGCUCAAAAUGGGUGGUAAAUUUCAUCUAAAGCUAAAUAUUGGCCAGAGACCGAUAGCGCACAAGUAGAGUGAUCGAAAGAUGAAAAGCACUUUGGAAAGAGAGUUAAACAGUACGUGAAAUUGUUGAAAGGGAAGCGCUUGCAAUCAGACUUGGGCCUAGGCGAUCAUGUAGGGUUCUCCCUGCUGCACUCGGUUAGGCCCAGGCCAGCAUCGGUUUUGGUGGUGGGAUAAAGGCCCUGGGAAUGUGGCCCCUCUCGGGGGGUGUUAUAGCCCAGGGUGCAAUGCCGCCUACUGGGACCGAGGACCGCGC